ACGAACGCUGGCGGCGUGCCUAAUACAUGCAAGUCGAACGCUUCUUUUUCCACCGGAGCUUGCUCCACCGGAAAAAGAGGAGUGGCGAACGGGUGAGUAACACGUGGGUAACCUGCCCAUCAGAAGGGGAUAACACUUGGAAACAGGUGCUAAUACCGUAUAACAAUCGAAACCGCAUGGUUUUGAUUUGAAAGGCGCUUUCGGGUGUCGCUGAUGGAUGGACCCGCGGUGCAUUAGCUAGUUGGUGAGGUAACGGCUCACCAAGGCGACGAUGCAUAGCCGACCUGAGAGGGUGAUCGGCCACAUUGGGACUGAGACACGGCCCAAACUCCUACGGGAGGCAGCAGUAGGGAAUCUUCGGCAAUGGACGAAAGUCUGACCGAGCAACGCCGCGUGAGUGAAGAAGGUUUUCGGAUCGUAAAACUCUGUUGUUAGAGAAGAACAAGGAUGAGAGUAACUGUUCAUCCCUUGACGGUAUCUAACCAGAAAGCCACGGCUAACUACGUGCCAGCAGCCGCGGUAAUACGUAGGUGGCAAGCGUUGUCCGGAUUUAUUGGGCGUAAAGCGAGCGCAGGCGGUUUCUUAAGUCUGAUGUGAAAGCCCCCGGCUCAACCGGGGAGGGUCAUUGGAAACUGGGAGACUUGAGUGCAGAAGAGGAGAGUGGAAUUCCAUGUGUAGCGGUGAAAUGCGUAGAUAUAUGGAGGAACACCAGUGGCGAAGGCGGCUCUCUGGUCUGUAACUGACGCUGAGGCUCGAAAGCGUGGGGAGCAAACAGGAUUAGAUACCCUGGUAGUCCACGCCGUAAACGAUGAGUGCUAAGUGUUGGAGGGUUUCCGCCCUUCAGUGCUGCAGCUAACGCAUUAAGCACUCCGCCUGGGGAGUACGACCGCAAGGUUGAAACUCAAAGGAAUUGACGGGGGCCCGCACAAGCAGCGGAGCAUGUGGUUUAAUUCGAAGCAACGCGAAGAACCUUACCAGGUCUUGACAUCCUUUGACCACUCUAGAGAUAGAGCUUCCCCUUCGGGGGCAAAGUGACAGGUGGUGCAUGGUUGUCGUCAGCUCGUGUCGUGAGAUGUUGGGUUAAGUCCCGCAACGAGCGCAACCCUUAUUGUUAGUUGCCAUCAUUUAGUUGGGCACUCUAGCAAGACUGCCGGUGACAAACCGGAGGAAGGUGGGGAUGACGUCAAAUCAUCAUGCCCCUUAUGACCUGGGCUACACACGUGCUACAAUGGGAAGUACAACGAGUCGCAAAGUCGCGAGGCUAAGCUAAUCUCUUAAAGCUUCUCUCAGUUCGGAUUGUAGGCUGCAACUCGCCUACAUGAAGCCGGAAUCGCUAGUAAUCGCGGAUCAGCACGCCGCGGUGAAUACGUUCCCGGGCCUUGUACACACCGCCCGUCACACCACGAGAGUUUGUAACACCCGAAGUCGGUGAGGUAACCUUUUGGAGCCAGCCGCCUAAGGUGGGAUAGAUGAUUGGGGUG
rnacentral:rRNA from 1 species